CAUGCCGCGUGUGUGAAGAAGGCCUUCGGGUUGUAAAGCACUUUCAGCGAGGAGGAACGGGCAGCUGUUAAUACCAGCUGUUUUGACGGUACUCGCAGAAGAAGCACCGGCUAAUUUCGUGCCAGCACCGUCGGUGACUGAGCGGGCUGGCAAGGCGCAUA
rnacentral:rRNA from 1 species